rnacentral:rRNA from 1 species
AUUGAACGCUGGCGGCAUGCUUUACACAUGCAAGUCGGACGGCAGCACGGAGAACCUUGCUUCUUGGCUGUCGAGUGGCGCAGGGGUGAGUAAUAUAGCGGAACGUACUGAGUGAUGGGGGAUACCUAAUCGAACGAUUAGCUAUUACCGCAUAUUCUCUGAGGCGGAAGGCUGGGUACUUUCGGGCCUUUCGUUAGUCACGCAUACGUUAUCCCGUUUCUCAUUAGCUAGUUGGUAGGGUAACGGCCUACCAAGGCAACGAUGCGUAGCCGAGCUGAGAGGGUGAUCCGCCACACUGGAACUGAGACACGGUCCAGACUCCUACGGGAGGCAGCAGUAGGGAAUCUUGGGCAAUGGGCGAAAGCCUGAUCGAGCAAUGCCGCGUGUGUGAUGAAGGUCUUCGGAUUGUAAAGCACUUUUGUUAGGGAAGAAAAGGUGGGUGAGAAUAUCAACAGCUGUUGACGGUACCUGAAGAGAAAGCAACGGCUAACUACGUG